GAGAGGAUGGGGAGGAAUGGAGGAAGGGAUGGAGAGAGAGGAUGGGGAGGAAUGGAGGAAAGGAUGGAGAGAGAGGUGGGGAGAAAUGGAGGAAGGGAUGGAGAGAGAGGAUGGGGAGGAAUGGAGGAAGGGAUGGAGAGAAAGGAUGGGGGAGGAAUGGAGAGAGAGGUGGGGAGGAAUGGAGGAAAGGAUGGAGAGAGAGGAUGGGGAGGAAUGGAGGAAAGGAUGGAGAGAGAGGAUGGGGGAGGAAUGGUGGAAAGGAUGGAGAGAGAGGAUGGGGAGGAAUGGAGGAAAGGAUGGAGAGAGAGGAUGGGGGGAAUGGAGGAAAGGAUGGAGAGAGGUGGGGAGGAAUGGAGGAAAGGAUGGAGAGAGAGGUGGGGAGGAAUGGAGGAAAGGAUGGAGAGAGAGGUGGGGAGGAAUGGAGGAAAGGAUGGAGAGAGAGGAUGGGGGAGGAAUGGAGGAAAGGAUGGAGAGAGAGGUGGGGAGGAAUGGAGGAAAGGAUAGAGAGAGAGGUGGGGAGGAAUGGAGGAAAGGAUGGAGAGAGAGGUGGGGAGGAAUGGAGGAAAGGAUAGAGAGAGAGGUGGGGAGGAAUGGAGGAAAGGAUGGAGAGAGAAGUGGGGAGGAAUGGAGGAAAGGAUAGAGAGAGAGGUGGGGAGGAAUGGAGGAAAGGAUGGAGAGAGAGGAUGGGGAGGAAUGGAGGAAAGGAUGGAGAGAGGAUGGAGAGACAGGUGGGGAGGAAUGGAGGAAAGGAUGGAGAGAGAGGAUGGAGAGAGAGGUGGGGAGGAAUGGGGGAAAGGAUGGAGAGAGAGGAUGGAGAGAGAGGUGGGGAGGAAUGGAGGAAAGGAUGGAGAGAGAGGAUGGAGAGAGAGGUGGGGAGGAAUGGAGGAAGGGAUAGAGAGUCGAUGGGGGAGGAAUGGAGGAAAGGAUGGAGAGAGAGGAUGGAGAGAGAGGUGGGGAGGAAUGGAGGAAAGGAUGGAGAGAGAGGUGGGGAGGAAUGGAGGAAAGGAUAGAGAGAGAGGUGGGGAGGAAUGGAGGAAAGGAUGGAGAGAGAGGAUGGGGGAGGAAUGGAGGAAAGGAUGGAGAGAGGAUGGAGAGAGAGGUGGGGAGGAAUGGAGGAAAGGAUGGAGAGAGAGGAUGGAGAGAG